UACGGAGGAUCCAAGCGUUAUCCGGAAUUACUGGGCGUAAAGAGUUGCGUAGGUGGCAUGGUAAGUUGAUAGUGAAAUCCUGGGGCUCAACCCCUUACCCAUUAUCAAAACUGCCAAGCUUGAGGACGAGAGAGGUUACUGGAAUUCCUAGUGUAGGAGUGAAAUCCGUAGAUAUUAGGAGGAACACCGAUGGCGUAGGCAGGUAACUGGCUCGUUCCUGACACUAAGGCACGAAAGCGUGGGGAGCGAACGGG
rnacentral:rRNA from 1 species